rnacentral:rRNA from 1 species
GGUGGUGCAUGGCCGUUCUUAGUUGGUGGAGUGAUUUGUCUGGUUAAUUCCGAUAACGAACGAGACCUUAACCUGCUAACUAGUUCUCAAUACUCUGUAUUCUGCAACUUCUUAGAGGGACUAUGUAAAUCAAUUACAUGGAAGUUUGAGGCAAUAACAGGUCAGUGAUGCCCUUAUAUGUCCUGGGCUGCACGCGUGCUACACUGAUGCAUACAACAAGUGCCUAGCCAGACAUGGUAUGGCAAUCUCGAAUAUGCAUCGUGAUGGGGAUAGAUCUUUGCAAUUA